GAUUUCAACUGAAAAAAGUCAUCAACAUCAAAGUUGUACAACUCAUUAAUAUCUAUAACUUUUAUUUUGGUCAUUUCUUCAUCCGAUAAAGCGACAGUAAUAUUGUUCACAAAAUGUAGAUACCUAUAAAAAUAUCUAUAUUUUGUGAACAAUGUUACAAAUCACUUUGUCGGAUGAACAAAUGACCAAAAUAAAAAUUGUAGAUCUAGAUGGAUUAUACAACUUUGUUGUUGAUGACGUUUUCAGUUGAAGUC
rnacentral:pre_miRNA from 1 species